UUCUUUGCAUCGUCAGCACAUGCUUCAGUGCUCUGAGAGUGUUUAUAGUGCUGUGAGUUUAACACUUCAUGACUGAGAGCAGAACACAACACAAUCUUCAUCAUCACACAAGACAAAACAACUACAAUGAACAGCAUCAUCAUCUUCAUCUGGACCAUUGCAGCACUUAUUGAAGAAUCCAGAGGAGUCACUUUGACUCAACCUGAAGUUAAAACUGUGCAACAGGGUCAAACAGCUACAAUAGAGUGUAAUAUUGACAUUGGGAUACGCUACAGUCACAUGUACUGGUAUCAGCAGAAACCUGGAGAAGCUCCUAAGCUCCUCAUAUAUCAGAUAAACACCCUCCAGUCAGGAACUCCAUCUAGAUUCAGUGGCAGUGGAACAGCAGAUACUGGAAGAGAUUUCACUCUCACCAUCAGUGGAGUCCAGACUGAAGAUACAGGAGAUUAUUACUGUCAGAGUGUACAUCAGAUCAGUAGUAGCUGGGUGUUCACACAGUGA